GAUGACUGGUCAUGUGAUCUAUGUCUGGUCAUGUGAUCUAUGUCUGGUCAUGUGAUCUAUGUUCCCGAAGAGGAAAGAACUUCUCAAAGACGUUGAAUUUUCCCUUUUGAAGGAACAUUCGUAUUUCUAAAACUUAAAAAAUGGCUUCAUCAUUUUAGUCUACAUUUUUAUUUAAUACAUUUACAUUUGUAUGCCUACUGUCUGUGUAUUCCGAAACUUUUGGUGCCAACUGGUAUUCGUAUUCUAUAAAAUAACUCUGUAAUUAUCAAAAUGUGUCUAUACGUAUACAUAGAUGAUUCAUCUAUAUAUUCUUCAUGUUCAGAUUGGUGAUUUUCACGAUUAUGAUUCAGUUCUAAACAAUGUAAAAGAUUCUAAAUUAAAAAAGCACUUUUGUCAGCUGAACUAGUUUGUGCUAGCCUAAAAACCCGAUUCUACGGUGCUGAAAACUGCACAAAAAUGAUCAUAAAUCUAAUGGAUGACUGACUUACGUUGGGAAGGUAAAAUCGUUGUGCUGGUCACACGACACUUUCGUUCGAAACAGAAGAGCUCUACAUCAUCUGCCCCCCCCCCCCCCCCCCCCC